GAUCUCGUAGUUAUACUUCUCGAAGAGACCCGCUAGUGUCUUCAAUUCCGGCGUGAAUAUCGUUCGAAAUUCAGGCGUAUCGAGCUUCAUUAUUACCGGGUCAUCCCGCGAUGCUGGGGCCUGUUCUCCUUCCAUUUUUGACGCCUUCCAACGCUCCGCCGAGUAACUCGUCGCCCCCUGAAAUCAUUGAGAUUACUACGACGGUAAAAUAGUGAAAGAAGAUGCCGCCCGGGAUGAAGGGAGGCGGAUAAUCGUGGAGGAUUAGAGACGCAGCAGCAGGGUCCGAUAUUACGUUUAUAUUUUAUUGGGGUGUAAUUUUCGUCGGGCGGCAAACAAAGUGGCGAUUAUUACAACGAAAGACAGAAGCAAACAGUGGGGGAUAAAGCAAACGCAAUCAUUUGACACAUUACCUCGUCGGGGAUUCGGCUUCGUCGCAGCGUUAGACCGCAGCCGAAACGCGGUAGACGAAACUCAUCAGAUGCUGAACCAUGCUACAUAAGACGAUUGAACUCCAAUACCAAGAGAU